AACGUAGGAGACGAACGUUAUCCGGAGUUACUGGGCGUAAAGGGCGUGUAGGCGGUUUGUUAAGUCUGGCGUGAAAGCUCUCGGCUAAACCGGGAGAGGUCGUUGGAUACUGGCGAACUAGAGGAUGGUAGAGGCGUGUGGAAUUCCCGGUGUAGCGGUGAAAUGCGCAGAUAUCGGGAGGAACACCAAUGGCGAAGGCAGCUUGCUGGGACGGUACUGACGCUGAGGCGCGAAAGCGUGGGGAGCAAACAGG
rnacentral:rRNA from 1 species